rnacentral:lncRNA from 1 species
GUCACUUUGAGUAAUUGGGCCAAAAGGAUGAAUAUAUGGUAACCAUAUGCCAAUAGGUUCUUGAAUGAUGCUUCACAAUCUUUCGACCUAUUUGGACAUCGGAUAUCAUUACUAGAUGGUCACUUUGAUUGGUAUAGAAAGAUUGUUCCUAUACUACUGACUUAGGUUUGAACCUAUGGGGUCACACUCAAAAAAAAAUUUUAACUGAUCAUAUGGCUG